rnacentral:RNase_P_RNA from 1 species
GUCGGGUAUACGGUCGCGGCAUGCGCAUGCAUGACGAGGAAAGUCCGGGCUUCAAAGGGCAGGAUGCCGGAUAACGUCCGGCAGGGGUAACUCUCGGGAUAGCGCAACAGAAAAGAACCGCCGGUCAUUGACCGGUAAGGGUGAAAAGGCAGUGUAAGAGACUACCGCUGAGCCCGGUAACGGGACAGGCAGUGCAAGCCCCAUCCGAAGCAAGGUCAAGUACGAGACGAUACAGCGGCCCGUUGUGUCUCGUGGUAGACCGCUUGAGCUGUCCGGCAACGGGCAGUCUAGACAGAUGACCGUACACGACAGAACCCGGCUUACAGCCCGGCCGC